GGCUUUGCACCUCUAUACCUAAUAUUCUUUAUCGUUAGAGUCUCGCUGUAACAUUCUCGAAGUCGCCAGCAAAGAGCUUACCACAGGUUCAUACGACAGCCAUAGCAUCUCUGUCAGCAUCAAUGGCGUCUCGAGUGAUUUGAUUACUGAAAUCGAGUUGCAGAAACUCUUUGUUUGUCUCCAAUCACGUCUUAUAGCCUUCUCUUCUAAUAAACUGAAACAUUCCGAGUUACUCAUCGCAUUUAUCACCUUAUUAACUCCAUAGCCGACGUAAACCACGAUCUGACCUUAAUUGUGAGUUAUCCUUCUGAAAAGGGGUUUAUUCUACACCUAUAAAAGCUGGCCGAUGCUCCUCCACUGUCCAAGUGCUGUUACUCAGGUUCUGGAUAGCCAGAAAUGUCCGAGAGGAGGAGAAUUGAUGUCUCUUGAUAUGUUCUUACUGGAUUCAUAGGUGACCCUUAUGCAAGCAACCGUGAAUGUGAGCCGGCUAGCAACUUACAGGCCUUAUCUCCAGGCCGGUUCAAUGUAUUCUGUCACCGGUUUUGAUGUAACUCGGUGUAAUCAAAACUUCAGGCUCUCGAACUCCUCUCUGCUGAUUCGAUUCAGUGACGCUACCGCUCUUGCUGAGUUAACUGAACCAGCUUUUCCAAUACCUAAAGAAUGUUUCAGGUUCCGUAAUCACAGAGGGAUACUUAGUCUAGCCAACAGCAAUACCCAACUUCCAGGUAUUCCUCCUAUAAUAUGUUCAUAGGUAUAGCUGGAUAAGAUAUUAAUAAUAAUCCUGAGCCAGAUGUUAUUGGUGAGAUAAUUGCUGUUAAGAGAAAGUUCUAUUUCGCUUGAAUGGCUAACCUAUCUAUCUUAAUCGCUGGAGGCUGGCUGGAGAUGGGUUAGAUUCACCGGAGAUGGGUUCUUCUUCUGUUUUGGAGAGUAGAAUCUGAGGAUUCAAAAGUGUUAAAGCUUUGGAGACUGGAGUAAGCAAGCAACUCCAUCGGCUUGAGAGGCAUGGGCCGGUAAACAAGCAAGGCAGCUACGUUUGAUCUUCUUAAAAAUGUCAAUGGGAUCUCUGAUUUUCUACACAUAAAUAUCGGAUCCUUCAAUGCUUAUGAGUGCUUUAAGAAAAAAAAAUAUUUAGUACACAGCAAGGCAACUACAUUUUCUCUUCUUAAAAAUGUCCAUGGGAUCUCUGAUUUUCUACACAUAUAUAUCGGAUCCUUCAGUGCUUAUGAGUGCUUUUAUUUUUUUUUUAAAACUUUUGUACACUGCUGCCAGGCAAACUACGUUUGCUCUUCUUAAAAGUGUGAAUGUGAUUUCAGUUUUUCUACUCUCA